rnacentral:rRNA from 1 species
UACAGAGGGGGCAAGCGUUGUUCGGAAUUACUGGGCGUAAAGGGCGCGUAGGCGGCCUUCUAAGUCAGACGUGAAAUCCCUCGGCUCAACCGGGGAACUGCGUCUGAGACUGAAAGGCUUGAAUCCGGGAGAGGAAUGCGGAAUUCCAGGUGUAGCGGUGAAAUGCGUAGAUAUCUGGAGGAACACCGGUGGCGAAAGCGGCUCACUGGACCGUCUCUGACGCUGAGGUGCGAAAGCUAGGGUAGCAAACGGG